rnacentral:rRNA from 1 species
UACGAGGGGGGCAAGCGUUGUUCGGAAUUAUUGGGCGUAAAGGGCGCGUAGGCGGUGCGGCAAGUCAGGUGUGAAACCUCCAGGCUCAACUUGGAGCUUGCAUCUGAAACUGCCGUGCUAGAGUGUGGGAGAGGAGAGUGGAAUUCCUGGUGUAGCGGUGAAAUGCGUAGAUAUCGAGAGGAACACCUGCGGCGAAGGCGGGUUGCUGGGCUGAUACUGACGCUGAUGCGCGAAAGCUAGGGGAGCAAACAGG